AUUGAGCGCUGGCGGCAGGCCUAACACAUGCAAGUCGAACGGUAGCACAGAGAGCUUGCUCUCGGGUGACGAGUGGCGGACGGGUGAGUAACGUCUGGGAAACUGCCCGAUGGAGGGGGAUAACGACUGGAAACGGUAGCUAAUAACGCAUAACGUCGCAAGACCAAAGUUGGGGAACUUCUGGCCUCACACCCUCGGAUGUGCCCAGAUGGGAUUAGCUAGUAGGUGGGGUAAUGGCUCACCUAGGCGACGAUCCCUAGCUGGUCUGAUAGGAUGACCAGCCACACUGGAACUGAGACACGGUCCAGACUCCUACGGGAGGCAGCAGUGGGGAAUAUUGCACAAUGGGCGCAAGCCUGAUGCAGCCAUGCCGCGUGUAUGAAGAAGGCCUUCGGGUUGUAAAGUACUUUCAGCGGGGAGGAAGGCGGUGAAGUUAAUAACUUCACCGAUUGACGUUACCCGCAGAAGAAGCACCGGCUAACUCCGUGCCAGCCGCCGCCGUAA
rnacentral:rRNA from 1 species